GGUCUCGUAGCUCAGGUGGCUAGAGCGUUGGCGGAACUAAAGCCUUCCCUUUUGUGGUGUGGGUUCGAAUCCCAACGAGGCUA
rnacentral:tRNA from 1 species